UACACGACCGUACCGCAAACCGACACUGGUGCGCGAGAUGAGUAUUCUCAGGCGCUUGAGAGAACUCGGGAGAAGGAACUCGGCAAAUUGACACCGUAACUUCGGAAGAAGGUGUGCCUUUAGUAGGUGAAGGGAUUUACUCCUGGAGCCCAAUGAGGUUGCAAAAAAUCGGUGGCUGCGACUGUUUAAUAAAAACACAGCACUCUGCAAACACGAAAGUGGACGUAUAGGGUGUGACGCCUGCCCGGUGCUGGAAGAUUAAGUGAUGGGGUGCAAGCUCUUGAUCGAAGUCCCAGUAAACGGCGGCCGUAACGAUAACGGUCCUAAGGUAGCGAAAUUCCUUGUCGGGUAAGUUCCGACCUGCACGAAUGGCGUAACGAUGGCCACACUGUCUCCUCCCGAGACUCAGCGAAGUUGAAAUGUUUGUGAUGAUGCAAUCUCCCCGCGGAAAGACGGAAAGACCCCAUGAACCUUUACUGUAGCUUUGUAUUGGACUUUGAACGAAUCUGUGUAGGAUAGGUGGGAGGCUUUGAAGCAGGGUCGCUAGAUCUUGUGGAGCCAACGUUGAAAUACCACCCUGGUGCGUUUGAGGUUCUAACCUAGGCCCAUGAUCCGGGUCGGGGACAGUGCAUGGUAGGCAGUUUGACUGGGGCGGUCUCCUCCCAAAGCGUAACGGAGGAGUUCGAAGGUACGCUAGUUACGGUCGGACAUCGUGACGAUAGUGCAAUGGCAUAAGCGUGCUUAACUGCGAGACUGACAAGUCGAGCAGAUGCGAAAGCAGGGCAUAGUGAUCCGGUGGUUCUGUAUGGAAGGGCCAUCGCUCAACGGAUAAAAGGUACUCUUGGGAUAACAGGCUGAUACCGCCCAAGAGUUCAUAUCGACGGCGGUGUUUGGCACCUCGAUGUCGGCUCAUCUCAUCCUGGGGCUGUAGCCGGUCCCAAGGGUAUGGCUGUUCGCCAUUUAAAGAGGUACGUGAGCUGGGUUUAAAACGUCGUGAGACAGUUUGGUCCCUAUCUUCCGUGGGCGCUGCAGAUUUGAGGAAGCCUGCUCCUAGUACGAGAGGACCGGAGUGGACGCACCUCUGGUGUACCUGUUGUCACGCCAGUGGCAUUGCAGGGUAGCUAAGUGCGGAAGAGAUAACCGCUGAAAGCAUCUAAGCGGGAAACUCGUUUCAAGAUGAGAUCUGCCGGGGCCUUGAGCCCCCUGAAGAGUCGUUCUAGACCAGGACGUUGAUAGGUCAGGUGUGGAAGCGCAGUAAUGCGUUAAGCUAACUGAUACUAAUUGCUCGUGCGGCUUGACC
rnacentral:rRNA from 1 species